CUACGGGGGGCAGCAGUAGGGAAUAUUGCGCAAUGGGCGAAAGCCUGACGCAGCCAUGCCGCGUGAGUGAUGAAGGCCUUCGGGUCGUAAAGCUCUUUUCUGAGGGAAGAACAUCCAGAGGAGGAAAUGUCUCUGGUCUGACGGUACCUCAGGAAUAAGGAACGGCUAACUCCGUGCCAGCAGCCGCGGUAAUACGGAGGUUCCAAGCGUUGUUCGGAAUUACUGGGCGUAAAGGGAGCGCAGGCGGACAGGUCAGUGGAAAGUGGAAUCCCGGGGCUUAACCUCGGACGUGCUUUCCAUACUGCCUGACUUGAGUUCGUGAGAGGAAGGCGGAAUUCAGGGUGUAGCGGUGAAAUGCUUAGAUAUCCUGAGGAACACCAGUGGCGAAAGCGGCCUUCUGGCACGAAACUGACGCUGAGGCUCGAAAGCGUGGGUAGCGAACGGGAUUAGAUACCCUUGUAGUC
rnacentral:rRNA from 1 species